UACGUAGGGGGCAAGCGUUGUCCGGAUUUAUUGGGCGUAAAGAGCUCGUAGGCGGUUCGGUAAGUCGGGUGUGAAACCUCCAGGCUCAACCUGGAGUCGCCACUCGAUACUGCUGUGACUAGAGUCCGGUAGGGGAGCGUGGAAUUCCUGGUGUAGCGGUGAAAUGCGCAGAUAUCAGGAGGAACACCAGCGGCGAAGGCGGCGCUCUGGGACGGAACUGACGCUGAGGAGCGAAAGCGUGGGGAGUAAACAGG
rnacentral:rRNA from 1 species